UGAGUGCGAGCUGCUACGGCAGCGAAGUGGGUGACGUCAAGCUUCCAAGAAAAGCCCUAGACCCGUUAAGGCAUGAUUUCCUGUACCCGAAACCGACACAGGUGGGGUGGUAGAGAAUACCGAGGGGCGCGAGGUAACUCUCUCUAAGGAACUCGGCAAAAUGGCCCCGUAACUUCGGGAGAAGGGGUGCCAGCGAGAGCUGGUCGCAGUGAAGAGGCCCAGGCGACUGUUUACCAAAAACACAGGUCUCCGCUAAGUCGCAAGACGAUGUAUGGGGGCUGACGCCUGCCCAGUGCCGGAAGGUUAAGGAAGCUGGUCAGCGCAAGCGAAGCUGGCGACUGAAGCCCCGGUGAACGGCGGCCGUAACAAUAACGGUCCUAAGGUAGCGAAAUUCCUUGUCGGGUAAGUUCCGACCCGCACGAAAGGCGUAACGAUCUGGGCGCUGUCUCGGAGAGAGGCUCGGCGAAAUAGAAUUGUCUGUGAAGAUGCGGACUACGUGCACCCGGACAGAAAGACCCUAUGAAGUUUUACUGUAGCUUGGUAUUGUGCUCGGGCUCGGAAUGCGCAGGAUAGGUGGGAGGCAUUGAUCCAUUGCUUGCGGGUGAUGGUGAGCCACUGGUGAGAUACCACUCUUUUCGAGCUUAAGUUCUAACGGCCACCCGUUAUCCGGGGGCCGGACAGUAUCAGGUGGGCAGUUUGACCGGGGCGGUCGCCUCCUAAAGUAACGGAGGCGCGCAAAGGUCUGCUCAGGCUGGUUGGAAAUCAGCCGACGAGUGUAAAAGCAGAAGCAGGCUUGACUGUGAGACCUACAAGUCGAACAGGGAGGAAACUCGGCUUUAGUGAUCCGACGGUUCUGCGUGGAAGGGCCGUCGCUCAACGGAUAAAAGUUACUCUAGGAUAACAGGCUGAUCUCCCCCAAGAGUUCACAUCGACGGGGAGGUUUGGCACCUCGAUGUCGGCUCAUCGCAACCUGGGGCUGAAGUCGGUCCCAAGGGUUGGGCUGUUCGCCCAUUAAAGCGGUACGCGAGCUGGGUUCAGAACGUCGUGAGACAGUUCGGUCCAUAUCCGGUGCACGCGCAGGAAUAUUGAGAGGAUUUCUCCCUAGUACGAGAGGACCGGGAGGAACGCACCUCUGGUGUGCCAGUUAUCGUGCCAACGGUAAACGCUGGGUAGCCAUGUGCGGAGAGGAUAACCGCUGAAAGCAUCUAAGUGGGAAGCCCACCUCAAGAUGAGUAUUCCCAUGGCGUUAAGCCAGUAAGGUCACGGGAAGAACACCCGUUGAUAGGCUCUAUGUGGAAGCGCAGUAAUGCGUGAAGCAGAGGAGUACUAAUAGACCGAGGGCUUGAC
rnacentral:rRNA from 1 species